rnacentral:rRNA from 1 species
CGUGAGAUGUUCGGUUAAGUCCGGCAACGAGCGCAACCCUCGCCAUUAGUUGCCAGCAUUUCGGAUGGGCACUCUAGUGGGACUGCCUAUGAAAGUAGGAGGAAGGCGGGGAUGACGUCUAGUCAGCAUGGUCCUUACGGCCUGGGCGACACACGUGCUACAAUGGCCGGUACAGCGCGCUGCCACCUCGCGAGAGGGAGCUAAUCGCGAAAGCCGGUCCCAGUUCAGAUUGCAGUCUGCAACUCGACUGCA